rnacentral:lncRNA from 1 species
AAUGUGACCUGAGAAUCACAGUUUAUGUGAGAAUGCAUUUUGUAAUGCCUCACUAUAGAAUAACAACACUGUAGAAUUGAUUGCUAUUUGCUGGGUUCUUUUAGUGUGUGAAAUCUGACUUAGGGAUGCUGACCAAAUACAAUAUGAUGAAAAAGGAAAUGAAAAUCACUUUGGCUUGAAAGAUGUGUCCUUGAAAAAUGUUACUUUCCCCAAUAAAUGGUGAUCUUGCCUUGUAAGAAAGAAAAUAACAAGCUACAUGUUAAGCACACUGUUAUUAUUCAUGGAAACUGACCAACUGAUUAUUCAGGAGAAAUUAAUUCUUUAGCACCAGGGUUUGGGGCUGGUGUAAAUCUGAUCACUGACAGGUCUUGUGAUAAGACUGUGAAGAAAACCAAAAAUGUUACAAAUCUUGUAGUUUGUAAAAUCAGGGGCUUCUUUAUCAUGAAUUUCUGUAGUGCUUGCAAUAAACCUAGCAGAAAAUUGGGCAGAGUUUUUUAAUGUAAUGCCAAUUUGCAGCUUAAAAUAAUAUAUUCCCUAAUAUUAGUGGAGUUACAAAGUC